rnacentral:misc_RNA from 1 species
GAAAAUUAUAGUAUCUAGCUCAAAAUUUUCUAGAUUUGUCACUCUUCAGUACUGACACUAGUUCAGAGAGCUUAAAUUUUAAAAUCAAAUGGAAAAUGCUACACGCGAUUUCCAGUUUCAAACAAACAAAGAACCGGAAUGCAAAAAUCAAGUCACAUCUUAGAGGAGGAUUGUGAAGUAAGCAAGAAAUGAAUCAAUAACUAUCUCUCAUGAUUUA